rnacentral:lncRNA from 1 species
AUCCAGCAUGGAUCCUGGGGCCUGGACAUCCGUCUCCACGCUGGGCAGAGACACCUCCACAUCGGGGGCCAUCACCUCUGCCUUUGGGCCUUUCAGGUCCAGCUUGGGGCCCUUGACGUCCACCUGGGGGCCCUUGAGGUCCACUUUGGGCAUCUUGAAACUGGGCAUCUGCACCUUGGGCAGGUGCCCUUUGAGGCUGGCUCCCUCGGGCACGGGGCCCUCUGGGAGUUUCACGUCCACUUGGCCAGCCUGGACCUCCAGGUCAGCGGAAGGGGGCUGAACGCUGAGGUCAGUGGUCUUGAGGUCCCCCUGCAUGGAGGGGAGGCUCACGUCGGCCUCCACCUUCAACGCAGACACAUCCGCUGAGGCCUCGAUGGACUUGCCAAGGGCAGACACCCCAAACGACAGCAUCUUGAACUUGGGCAUUUUGAACUUGCUGUCUUUGGCAGUCACGUCCUUGUCGGCCAGGGACAUGUCCCCGUCCAGCUGUGCGCCAUCCAACUUGGCUCCCGGGGCCUGCAUGUCCACCUCCAC